CCCCAGUAGGGGGUGUGCAAGAGGCAGCUGAUCAAUGUUUCUAACUCUCUAUCCCUCUCUCUUCCUCUCUGUAAAAAAUCAAUAAAAUAUAUUUUUUUAAAAAUUCAUUUAGUAAGCUGCCCAGCUACAAAAGGUCUAAAAGAUACAAAUAUAUUAAAAAUAAACAUUCUCUGAAAAACUCAGUUGCUAUGUACAUAAGAAUCCACUAGAGGUCACUGCUGCCCAUCAAUAUUAACUGAAAACAGAACAUACUGAAAGUUACAUAAAAAAAGAUGUAUUUCAGUAAAGCUGCCAGAUGUAGAAAAAUAGAACCAUAACCACAGAUUACAAGACCCUCAGUAAAGGUUAUGUUCAGAACACUCAAAGUGAACAGAUAAGUCAAUAAACACAAUUUAUUAAGCACAUUCUCCCAUUUAACACAAGAGAAGGCAAAGCAGUAUUUGUUCUCCUGUAUUUGAAAUUUAAGAAAAAAAAUAUGGCAGAAAAGGCAUAAGUAAUUAUCAUUUUCAUCUCAACACAUACAACCAGUUAAUUAUAAUGAGAAUGAUAAUAUCACUUAUGAACUAAAAUAUUUGACAACUGGAGAACUAAAACUGAGGAAAAUAACUUUCCUAUGACACAUCUUAAGAAUUGAAUGGACCUACAUGCUUUUAAACUAAAGCUAUUAGCCAGAAACAUAUAUAUUUUAUGUAAAAUGCUAAACUUUACUCUCGAAAAAUAAAUACAAGCCAAAUAAGCUUUGGAAGGCUCAAAUACACAAUUCAGUGAGAGCACUGAAUUCCAUAUAUAUGUAUAUAUGUGUGCUUUCUGUUUCAAUUUUCUCUCUGCACCCUCCCUCCACUCCCCCCCACACACACACACUUCCAUCCCCCCCCCCCACACACACACACAUUUGCACGCACGCACACACAUCAUGGCAUACUUUAAGAAAAAUGCAUUGCCCUCUCAAAGGACAAGCCAACCAUGUAUGUUCCUCUGUCCUGGAGAAUCUGAAAUGCACCACAAAAACAUAUUCCAGGUCUUUUUUUUUUUUUUCUGGGAUUCAAAUUCAAAUUCAGAAUCUUGUUUCAGAAAUGUCCAGGUUUGGAAAAUCACAAGUGAAUUGUUAUGUCCAAAAACACUCUUUCUUGAACUUGGGAAAGGCAUGCCUCACCACCUGGAAGAAUUCAGAUUUUGCCCCAACCCUACCACAUUUUUUCUCCAGACAUAAACUCAGAGAGGAGAAAGACUCCCUCUGGGAAAACACAGCUGAGAAAGAAUCAUAACCACCAACCCUCAUUUCAAAGGGGGCACCUCCAUGCAGGGACUGUCUCUGCUUCUUCAGACCCACUCUACGUCGUUCUCGGUUGAGAGGGUACCUGCGGAUGGAUGAGUCUUAAUAUCACAGUGGACACCUACAUCACCCAUUGAGCUCCAGAUGCAGCAGGUUUGUUAGCAAGGAGGAUUUCAACCGGAAGGUAUUUUACCUCAGGAUUCGCCACCCCUCUUCCAUGCCUACCAUUGUUAGGUUGCUAAUUUUUCUUUUGUGUUUAUUACUGACUAUUCCAGCACAAGGCUAUCAACUUGGUGAAACAGGGAUUAAAAAUAGAAAUAGACCCUAAGGAGGGCUCUGGAAAAAAAGAGAACAGAAAGACUUUGCCUAUUUAGUAAGUGACAAUUCCAUAUACUAUGUUGGAGAGUUUUUUCUUCUCCAUAUUAGUUAAGUACUUAUGAUGUUUUUAUUGUGCUUAAUGUUUGCUAGAGGGUGUAGGGUUUUGUAAAUCUUCAUAGUGGUUAUGAACAUUUGUAAAUUUGUACAAUACAACAAAUCGUGUUUGAGUGUUGGUGUUUCGCAUGAAACAGAUACAGCAGCCAUUGUCCUUAAAAAUGAAUUGUGUUUAGCCUGAUAAAGAAAAUGACUUGGCAUUGGGUAGGUCUCUGAGGUCAUGAAGAAGGGCUGCAGCGAUGAUGCAGUGGGAAGUGAGUAUCACAUUGAGAUGAUUUUUCAAAACCAUUGCUCGUUUUUAAGGACAGCACUGUUGCAUCUAAAUCAGAUAUAAAUACUCUAUUUCCACGAACACUCUUUUGAAUGUAGUGUGUGUUAUUUAAGCUGGCAUGUUUAUUUUAUUUUUCUGGGAAGAUAGCAUUAUAUUUUGGCUCUCGUUGUAAACCGAAUGUAUUCUGUUUGUCUAAAUGGCUUAGUUAUAAGCUAGAGUACUAUAUCGGCAUAUUCUUGUCUUUAUGGCUUCCUUCUAUGUGCUUGCCUGAGUCCAUCAACAGCAUGUGCCACAUUAUUUCUAAGCCAAGAGACUUAUCAUCUGGUGGCAAAUGCUGCGAAGACCAUUGACUAUCACAUGGAUUUGCCACUGUGCACUGCAUAAUUCACCUGUACCGUUAUGUACAAUGUCCAUUUAUUUAGUUUAACAUAGAUGAUAAAUAAAUAUUUGCUAAAUCCUUA